UUGCAAGUACGCUCUAUCGCUGCCCGUAAGGGGAGAGGAAAGUCCGAGCAACACAGAGCGCCGCACGAGUUAACGGCUCGACGUUCGUGAGGGUGUAGUAGCGUAACAGAGAAUAACCGCCGAUGUCGGCCUUCGGGCUGGCAGGUAAGGGUGAAAAGGUGGGGUAAGAGCCCACCGCGGUGGCAGCAAUGUUCACUGGCCGUACGCCUUGCGGGUUGCAAGACCAUGUAUACCGACAAUUAAGGGUUGCUCGUCCAAUGUCGGGGGGUAGGUUGCUAGAGGCUGUGGGUGACCACAGCAGUAGAUAAAUGAUAGAGGCCUCUGAGGAGGUACAGAACUCGGCUUAUAGUAUUUGCAAUGAA
rnacentral:RNase_P_RNA from 2 species